rnacentral:ncRNA from 2 species
UAGAUGUAUGCUCAUGCUCGCUGUCGCCGCAGGGGAAUCCGGUGCGAAUCCGGAACUGUCCCGCAACGGUGUACUUGCGUACAUUCGCGUACCCGCGUUCCGUACGCACGUCCAGUCCGAGGACCUGCCGACAGCGCGCCCGGCCU